GAUUUUAAAAAACAAGAAAUGAAUAAUCUAAGAUGUCAGUUACGACAUUACGAGAAUGUUGUACCCACAAGCCCAAAGUUUCAGAAUUUGACAACUAUAUCAGAACUUUGUCAACGACUUGCAUCUAGUGGAAAAUCAGAUGAAUAUUACUUGAUUGACAGAACGUGCAUUUUCUGCCAUGAAACUUGUGAAGACAAGGCUUCGGAAUAAAAUGGAAGAUGGAUUUCUAAGGGACUGCUUGCUAAUUUAUAUUGAAAAGGAGAUUGCUGUUGGAAUAUCAACAGAUGCAAUUAUAGAUGAGUUCGAUGAACCACCACGUCGAGUGCCAUUUAGUUGAAGGCUUGGAGCAAGUUAGUUUCUCUAUCUUCUAUUAUCUAGAUUUUUCUUUUGUGUGAUGUACCAUUGAAAAAUUGCAUAUCCUUUUGUAUCAACGGUGAAUGGUGGUGUAAUCAAUGAAAAAUAUCAUGCUAUU